UGAUACAAGGCAGACUCUCCCAUUUCCUUGUGAUCAGCUUGUCUUGUCACUCCCUUCUGCAGAAUGGUUUUAUUCUUUUCUCACACCUUGUAUUCAAGGAAGAGGCAAAGUGUUUGGAGGGCUGCUGUAUUGCUUUGCCUGGACAGAAAUCUCUGCAUCCACCGAGACGGGCGAUAAGGAUCCAGCAGAAUGGGAUGACGGUGAAUCCUGCUAGUGUGCUGUGAAUGUGAAGCAGGAGGGACUGGCAGUUUGUGUGCAGGAGAGAAAGCAACUCAGUCCAGGGCCCCUGAAUUAGCAGACUAAGGAAAGGAGAGAAAGAAAAUACAGCUGAAAAACUAAGGUGUAUAUCUCCACCAGGAUUUCAAGGGGGAAAGCCUGCCUGGCUGGACUGCAAGGAGGUACCUACACACACACAGAAACAUUCCCCAGGACUGGUGACACUGUUGUUCAGCCCUACUCUUGCUGAGAAGGUUUCCACACAACGCUGCAACAAUGAAUUUCCUCCGGCGGCGUCUCUCGGACAGUAGUUUCGUGGCAAAUUUGCCCAAUGGGUACAUGAUGGACUUGCAGCGCCCUGACAGCUCCACGAGCUCCCCGGUUUCUCCUGCUAUGGAGAGAAAGCAUCCUCAGCCACCGCAGCCCACGCACUCCUCCUCUACUGGCGCCAGCAUCUUCAGCUCCAUCUCCAGUGCCAUGAAGCAAACCACUCAAGCGGCUGCAGGACUGAUUGAUCACUCAGCCAGCCCCACACCUCCUGUGGCACAGAAACCCAAGAUCCUCCUAGUGAUUGAUGAUGCGCACACAGAGUGGGCCAAAUAUUUCCAGGGGAAGAAGGUGAAUGGAGAAUUUGAUAUCCGAGUGGAACAGGCUGAGUUCUCCGAGCUGAACCUGGCUGCUUAUGUCACAGGCGGCUGCAUGGUGGACAUGCAGGUCUUGAGGAACGGCACCAAGGUGGUAAGAUCUUUCAAGCCGGACUUUGUCCUGAUUCGGCAGCAUGCCUAUAGCAUGGCGCUGGGAGAGGACUUCCGCAGCCUCAUUAUUGGCCUCCAGUAUGGUGGCAUUCACACGGUCAACUCCCUCUACUCCAUCUACAACUUCUGCAGCAAGCCCUGGGUGUUCUCCCAGCUCAUCAAAAUCUUCAACUCGCUGGGUCCUGAGAAGUUUCCCCUUGUGGACCAAACAUUCUUCCCAAGCCAUAAGCAGAUGCUCACAACACCAAACUUCCCUGUAGUGGUCAAAUUGGGACAUGCUCAUGCUGGAAUGGGAAAGGUCAAAGUUGAGAACCAGCAUGACUUCCGGGACAUGGCCAGCAUAGUAGCCAUGGCAAAAACCUACGCCACCACUGAGCCGUUCAUUGACUCCAAGUAUGACAUCCGAAUCCAGAAAAUCGGCAGCAACUACAAGGCUUACAUGAGGACAUCCAUCUCUGGAAACUGGAAAGCAAACACAGGGUCUGCAAUGCUAGAACAGAUUGCAAUGACAGAGAGGUACAGACUCUGGGCAGACGCCUGUGCAGAAAUGUUUGGAGGUCUUGACAUCUGUGCUGUCAAAGCCGUCCACAGCAAAGAUGGAAAAGACUAUAUCAUUGAGGUGAUGGACAGCUCGAUGCCCCUGAUUGGGGAGCAUGUGGAAGAGGACAGACAACUUAUAGCUGAUCUGGUUGUUUCCAAAAUGACUCAGCUUGUCACCACUGCUGGAUCUACACCGUCACCACUGAGGCCUUGGCCUCCACAAGUUCAGCCUGCACCAAUGAAACCUCAGACUGGACCUCAGCUUGGACAACUGUCCCAACCACGGCCCCCUCCUCAAGGUGGCCCCCGCCAGCCUCAGGGAUCUCAGCCUCCACGGACAAACGCACCUCCACAGCAGCGGCUCUCCCCUCAAGGACAGCAGCCCCAGAGCCCCCAGUCCACUUCCCCUCAGCAGCAAAGGUCACCUGGAUCUCCACAGCAAGUCCGAUCAGCAACUGGGUCCUCUCCAGUCCAGGCUCCCAAGGCAGGCGUGGUCCCUCCGCAGCAGCCUAGACCUCCUGCUCAAGGCCGUGCUCCUAGCCAGCCAAGCCCCACUGAAACAUCCAAGCAGCAACCCACCCCUCACCCACAUCUGAACAAAUCGCAGUCCCUGACAAACACCUUCAGCAUACCUGAAUCAUCUCAGCGGGGAAACGCCAAUGAAGAUGAAGCAAAAGCCGAGACCAUCCGAAACCUGAGGAAAUCAUUUGCUAGCCUGUUUUCUGAUUAACAGCCCUGCAGCUGAUCCGUGCUUCUGCCCGCCCUCACUCUUCAUAUCAGCGUACCUGAUGUCACCCUGCAAUACUCUCAGUGGUACCCAGCGACUUACAACUAACAUCUGGGUUUGCUAAGCAUCUUACAGUAUAGCAUCAUAAAUACAUGUCACUGAGGAAAAAAAAACAGACCCUGCUGUUUUGCAGUCUCCAGGAGCAAUAAAAGAGUGACAAAUGGCCUUGAGCAGGCACUGUCCCACUGGUAAAAACAAUAGAUUAACAGGCAACACUAUAUGCAGAGGAGGUAAUACAAGCCUGAUGGGAGAGGAUUUCCUUCUGUAACACUUCCCUCAGCAUGAUUUAUGCCUUUUGCCACUAAACAGUCACCAGAUAUAAAGACAGAAAUAAAAGUUUACUGCCAGAAUACUACUCAACUGCUCUAUCCCCUGGAUCUUUUUAUGUCUCUCUCACCAACACAACCUAGACAAAAAAAUAAGUAACCAGUGACUAGUAUGGCACAGCCCCAUAAA